UACGGGGGGGGCAAGCGUUGUUCGGAAUUACUGGGCGUAAAGGGUUCGUAGGUGGCCUGCUAAGUCAGACGUGAAAUCCCUCAGCUUAACUGGGGAACUGCGUCUGAUACUGGUGGGCUUGAGUGCAGGAGAGGAACGCGGAAUUCCAGGUGUAGCGGUGAAAUGCGUAGAUAUCUGGAGGAACACCGGUGGCGAAGGCGGCAUCCUGGACCGGCAUUGACGCUGAGGCGCGAAAGCUAGGGGAGCAAACGGG
rnacentral:rRNA from 1 species